rnacentral:rRNA from 1 species
UACGGAGGGUGCGAGCGUUGUCCGGAAUCACUGGGCGUAAAGGGCGCGUAGGCGGCCUGGUAAGUAGGGGGUGAAAUCCUGCGGCUUAACCGCAGGGCUGCCUUCUAAACUGUCAGGCUUGAGCACAGUAGAGGCAGGUGGAAUUCCCGGUGUAGCGGUGGAAUGCGUAGAGAUCGGGAAGAACAUCAGUGGCGAAGGCGGCCUGCUGGGCUGUUGCUGACGCUGAGGCGCGACAGCGUGGGGGGCAAACAGG